rnacentral:tRNA from 1 species
UAUAGCUUAGUGGUAGAGUGCAUGCCUAACAUGCAGGAGGUCCUGGGUUCAAUCCUCAGUA